CCUACGGGUGGCAGCAGUGGGGAAUAUUGCACAAUGGGGGGAACCCUGAUGCAGCGACGCCGCGUGGGUGAGGAAGUAUUUCGGUAUGUACAGCCCUAUCAGCAGGGAAGAAAAUGACGGUACCUGACUAAGAAGCCCCGGCUAACUACGUGCCAGCAGCCGCGGUAAUACGUAGGGGGCAAGCGUUAUCCGGAUUUACUGGGUGUAAAGGGAGCGUAGACGGCGUGCGAAGUCUGGUGUGAAAGGCCGGGGCUCAACCCCGGGAUUGCAUUGGAAACUGGCAUGCUGGAGUGCCGGAGAGGCAAGCGGAAUGCGUGGUGUAGCGGUGAAAUGCGUAGAUAUUAGGCGGAACACCGAUGGCGAAGGCGGCUUGCUAGGCGGUGACUGACGUUGAGGCACGAAAGCGUGGGGAGCAAACAGGAUUAGAUACCCCAGUAGUC
rnacentral:rRNA from 1 species